rnacentral:rRNA from 1 species
AACGUAGGGGGCGAGCGUUGUCCGGAAUUACUGGGCGUAAAGGGCGCGUAGGCGGUUAUCCAAGUCAGGGGUGAAAACUCUGGGCUCAACCCAGAGCGUGCCUUUGAAACUGGGUAACUUGAGGGCAGGAGAGGGGAGUGGAAUUCCCAGUGUAGCGGUGAAAUGCGUAGAUAUUGGGAGGAACACCAGUGGCGAAGGCGGCUCUCUGGCCUAACCCUGACGCUGAGGCGCGAAAGCGUGGGGAUCAAACAGGAUUAGAUACCCCGGUAGUCCCUGAGCGGGCUGGCAA